GCUGAUGAAUGCAGAUGCGUCAGCAACUGGUUUCAGAACUGUUCCUGAUCAAAAAUCAACCUACAUCCAUAAGGGAGUUCAGACUUGCACUUCUAAUGAAGAUUCUGUAAUCUACAUCUCAUCUGGCUCGGAAGACAGCUUUGUGACACAAGAAGUAUCCGACUUACCUCCUAGGCAGAGAGUUGAUGCCGUUGGCAUCACGCCUCCUCCCUCGCCACGGCAAGAAACUACAGCGGACACGCAACCACAAGAACCAGGACCAGAAGCAGAAUCAGAACCAGAAUCAGAACCAGAACCAGAGAGGCCUUCUGAUUCUCUUCACACGGCUUCCAAAGCCCGAACAAUACUACAUAAGAGGAGAGCACACAAUCUGCAAGCCAGAGCUGUCUUAUUGGAUGUCUUGAUUACAG